ACUUAAGAAGGAUGUCGAGAGCCUAACCUAUUCCACACUGAAGAUUCGAUCCCUAGUGCCUGCAGGAGAUGCCUACCGGGGCAGAACUUCGAAGGUCUUAAUCCAAGAUGUCUUUGUCUGAGUGUUCUCUUUAAAUCCAGCUAAUCUUUCAACAACGGAUCUCUUGGUUCUGGCAUCGAUGAAGAACGCAGCGAAAUGCGAUAAGUAAUGCGAAUUGCAGAAUUCUCGUGAGUCAUCGAAUCUUUGAACGCACAUUGCGCCCUUUGGUAUUCCGAAGGGCAUGCCUGUUCGAGCGUCAUUUUCACCCCUCAAGCCCCCGGCUUGGUGUUGGACGGUCUGGUCCGGGGACCUCAAACCCCCUGGACCCCUCCCAAAGACAAUGACGGCGGGCUGUUGAACCCCCGGUACACUGGAGCAUCUUCACGGAGCACGUACCGGUCUCAAGGGUCGACGGCACCCGGUCUAUACCUAUAUUUUUCAAGGUUGACCUCGGAUCAGGUAGGAAUACCCGCUGAACUUAAGCAUAUCAUAGGAGAAAAGUCAUAAAUGCACCAGAUUCUGGUCACUGCGGG
rnacentral:rRNA from 1 species